GUACGGAGGAUCCGAGCGUUAUCCGGAUUUAUUGGGUUUAAAGGGUGCGCAGGCGGCCAUUUAAGUCAGCGGUUAAAUCGUGGGGCUCAACCCCAUUCUGCCGUUGAUACUGGGUGGCUUGAUUGCGGUCGAGGUUGGCGGAAUUCGUUGUGUAGCGGUGAAAUGCAUAGAUAUGACGAAGAACACCGAUUGCGUAGGCAGCUGACCAGACCGCAAAUGACGCUCAUGCACGAAAGUGCGGGGAUCGAACAGGAUUAGAUACCCUGGUAGUCCGCACAGUAAACGAUGAAUACUUGUUUUCGGCGAUAUAAUGUCGGAGGCAAAGCGAAAGCGAUAAGUAUUCCACCUGGGGAGUACGCCGGCAACGGUGAAACUCAAAUGAAUUGACGGGG
rnacentral:rRNA from 1 species